AACGAACGCUGGCGGCAUGCCUAACACAUGCAAGUCGAACGAUUGCCUUCGGGUGAUAGUGGCGCACGGGUGCGUAACGCGUGGGAAUCUGCCCUUAGGUUCGGAAUAACAGCUGGAAACGGCUGCUAAUACCGGAUGAUAUCGCGAGAUCAAAGAUUUAUCGCCUGAGGAUGAGCCCGCGUUGGAUUAGGUAGUUGGUGGGGUAAAGGCCUACCAAGCCGACGAUCCAUAGCUGGUCUGAGAGGAUGAUCCGCCACACUGGCACUGAGACACGGCCCAGACUCCUACGGGAGGCAGCAGUGGGGAAUAUUGGACAAUGGGCGCAAGCCUGAUCCAGCAAUGCCGCGUGAGUGAUGAAGGCCCUAGGGUUGUAAAGCUCUUUUACCCGGGAAGAUAAUGACUGUACCGGGAGAAUAAGCCCCGGCUAACUCCGUG
rnacentral:rRNA from 1 species